AAGGCUAAAUACUCCUGACUGACCGAUAGUGAACCAGUACCGUGAGGGAAAGGCGAAAAGAACCCCGGCGAGGGGAGUGAAAAAGAACCUGAAACCGUGUACGUACAAGCAGUGGGAGCCCCACCACUAAGCCAGUGGUGAACUCCACAUACGCAUCCUUUGCUGAGGAUACGGUUAACGGAGCGAAAGCGACGUUCAACCUCAAAAGAAGCAGAGGGGGCUUAGUGGUGGGGUGACUGCGUACCUUUUGUAUAAUGGGUCAGCGACUUAUAUUCUGUAGCAAGGUUAACCG
rnacentral:rRNA from 4 species